AUGAAUGAAGCCAGUUGCUAAUAUAUAUAUAUCUAUGUGUAUGUAAAUAUGUAUGUAUGUAUGUGAGUGUGUGUGUGUGUAUAUAUAUAUAUAUGCGUGUAUGUGUCUUUGUGCAUGUGUUUGGUACACACCACCACCUGACAACCGGUGUUCGUUUGUUUACGUUCCCUAACCAAAAGAGACCGAAACAAUAAGUACCAGGCUUUAAAAGUAAAAAUAAGUACCGGAGUCGAUUUGUUUGACUAUAAACUGUUCAAGGCGGUGCCCCAGCAUGGCCGCAAUCCAAUGACUGAAACAAGAAAAAGAUAAAUGAUCAAAGAUAUUGUGUUGUAAAUAGGUACCAUGAGGUGGUGAAUAUACAAAACGACAAUAAAUAUGCGUGAAGUCAUCACGUGUCUGUAAUAAGUCAUUAAGUGAGAUAUAGAUAUGUUGUGAGUUCAAAUUCCGCCGAGGUCGACGUUGCCUUUUAUCCUUUCGGGGUAGAUAAAUUAAGUACCAGUGAAACAUUGGGGUCGGUGUAAUUGACUAGCCCCCACCCCCUCAAAAUUUCAGGCCUUGUGCCUAUAGUAGAAAGGAUUAAGUGAGAGAUAGAAAUAUGGACUGGAUGACAAAAGACAGCAAAUGGUAUGGAAGUUAUUAAGUAAUAGUAAAUACGUCAGUUACGGGGGUAAGUAGAUCGUAAGGUCUGUUAAAGGUAUUAGUCUCAGUCGACUAAUUUUAUAUCACAGUACUAUAUCGUGUUACUCAGAUAACAAUUUUUGUCAUGACUUUCAAAUAGCGUAAAAAUCCGGGAGGAGAAGGAAAGAAAGAAGGAAACUGAAAGGGAGAGUAAAUGACAGAGUUUGACGAUCUAUGAAUUUUUUCGUUAUUUUUCAUAAGAGCCAAGAAAUUCGAUAACUAAAUUACAAUUCUUGCAUGAAUGCCAUAUUUUCUAUUAUCCACGGUGGCAUAUUUUCUAUUAUCCUAUAACGGAUAACCGAAAAUUGCUUAUAUUUCUAAUGCUGUAGACUCCACCGGAUUGAACGGUAAUGCUUAGGUGUCGAAAACGUCGUGAUAUUUGCUAGGGCAGCUGAUGACGGGAAAAAAAACAUAUGUUCUGCUCCAUUUUUGAUUCUUGUACAGUGGAAAGUGUUUGUGGAUCCAUAGUCUGUGGGAAUCGCUUAUUCUGGCAUUUUUAAUUUUCUUCAUGAAUAACCUAACUAGGCUUGGACAAGGGUUACAUGCUGGUGUUUAGUUAUGGUAGGUUCUCUGGUAUACAUACGUGGGUGUAUAAGUAUUUUUAUAUAUCAAUAUGCGUGUGUCUGUGUGCACGUGUAUGUAUAAAUAAAUAUAUACGUAUAUAUAUAUAUAUAUAUAUAUAUAUAUAUAUAUAUAUAUAUAGAGAGAGAGAGAGAGAGAGAGAGAGAGAGAGAGAGACACAUACACAUAUAUAGUCAUUGCACGGUGAUCGCCAUAAGCUUUAAGCUUAUAUAAAUAUGCCAUUAUUAUUAUUUACAGGAUUGUAAAACACGGAACCAUAUAACAAAACCUUCGCUUCUAAAGCAUAUAUAUACAUACAUAUAUGUAUAUACAUACAUACACACACACACAUACAUAUAUAUAUAUACAUAUAUGGGCGCCUAUAUGUAUACGUAUACAUAAUUACAUAAAUAAGUAUUCGCAGGUAUUAUAUUUUUGUUGUCUACACAUAUAAAUGCAUCUAUAUAUAUAUAUAUAUAUAUAUAUAUAUUUGUAUAUGUUUAUGUAAAGACUAAAUAAUGUAAUGUUUUUCUGUUCCAUCCAUCUUGUCUUGUAGGACUGCAUUGAAUAUAACUUUUUCUUCCAUUUUUGUCUUUGUAGAUUCAAAAGGAGAGAUCUGGUGUUACCCUCAGCAGCAUCGUCAAUAGGAAUCGCAGCAUCCCCAUCGUUUCUAUUCCAUCCAUCCCCAAGAAUUCAUACAGACCGUCAGACCAAUGUCCAGCUUGCUGUAUAAAUACGAUGUGUGACCUAUCCUGGUUGAAGAUUUACAGGAAUUAAUCUUAAGUGAUUCUUGGAUUAUCCUUAGUUUUAUUCUAAUUAUUAGAUGAAUUAUGGUGAUGAAAUGGUAGAAUCGUUAGCGAGUCGAACAAAAUGCUUAGCGGCAUUUCGUUCGUCUUUAAGUUCGGAGUUCAAAUCCUGUCGAGGUCAACUUUGUCUUUCAUCUUUUCGGGGCUGAUAAAAUCAUGGUACCCGUAAAUUACUAGGGUUGAUUAAUCGACAUGCCCCCUCCCCUUAAACUAAGUGGCCUUGUGCCAAGAUUAGAGGCAUAAUUAAAUGAAAUGGCAAAAUCGGUACAGUAUCGGAUUAAUGUCCUUAAAGUAUUCAGGUAUGGUCAUUCACGUUGUGGUUUCGAAUCCAACAUUAGUCGAUUCAGCCUUUCGCAUUUCCUCUCUGCAAAAUAAUAAUAAUAAUAAUAAUAAUAAUAAUAAUAAUAAUAAUAAUAAUAAUAAUAAUAAUAAUAAUAAUGACAGCAACAACGACAAUAAUAAUCUGGUACUGCUCUUAUGAAAUUGUUUAAGAUAAUAGGUUUGCCGAUUCGGUAGAGCGUCAAACAAAAUCUCCUUUGGGGUUUUUAGAUACAACCGUGUACGUUCUGAGUUCAACUCUUGCCGUUGUUAGCUUUGUCUUUCCUUCUGCGGUCGAUUAUAUAAAAAGUGGAGGCGCAAUGGCCCAGUAGUUAGGGCAGCGGACUCGCGGUAAUAGGAUCGCGGUUUCGAUUCCUAGACCGGGCGUUGUGGGUGUUUAUUGAGCGAAAACACCUUAAACCUCCACGAGGCUCCGGCAGUGGGUGGUGGCGAACCCUGUUAUACACAUUUACCACAACUUUCUCUCACUCUUUUUUCCUGUUUCUGUUGUACCUGGAUUUCAAAGGCUGCCAGCCUUGUCACACUCUGUGUCACGCUGAAUCUUCUCCGAGAAGUACAUUAAGGGUACACGUAUCUAUGGAGUGCUCAGCCACAUGCACGCUAAUUUCACGAGCAGGCUGUUCCGUUGCUCGGAUCACUUGGAACCAUCGUCGUCGUAACCGACGGAGUGCCUCGCUAUGUAAAGUACUUGACGAGUACGGGGAAAUAUAAUCGUCAGGAAUUAUUAUGUUAUGGAGGCAGUGGAUUGAAAUAUAAGAAAUAUUGUCUUGAAUUGGAUAUUCUGGUCUUUUUAAGUCGUCUGGCCAAAUUCCACCAAGGUCUACUUUGCCUUUCAUCGCUCCACGGUGAAUAAACUAUGAACGCGGUUUUGGAAAUAUAUAGAAAACAACGCAUUGGACUUUUGGAUCACACUUUCUUGCUCCACCGAUCAGGUGUGUGUGUGUGUGUGUGUGUGAGAGAGAGAGAGAGAGAGAGAGAGAUCAGCUCUAAACUGAUUCAGAACAACACACGACUCACUGAAGAUAAUGAAUCCUGGACUGUUGCGAUAGGGUUCACGGGGCAAAUUCGUCUCAGUCUGCAGUGUAGGGACUUAUCUGUGUCUCCUUUAACUAUGCGUGGUGGUGUUUUGGUGGAGUGUUAAUAUAUGGAACGGGAGGAAACUGAUGAUGGUGUGCAGAGUUGAUAAGUGGUUCAAAGGUGAAUUCAUAGAAGAGUUUCGGUGUAAAUUUUUAUGAUUGAAGAAUAUUAGCCUUGGUCUGGCAACGAGGAAGAGAGAGAAGGAGGGAGGGAGAUAGAGAAGGAGAGAGAGAGAAGGAGAGAGAUAGAGAAGGAGAGAGGUGGGAGAAAGAGAGAUGGAGAAAGAGGGAGAGAGAGAGAGAGAGGAAGCGGUGUUGUAGUUUGGUUUGUACUUUUUGUUCGUCGCCAUUUAAACUAAGACUAUUUGCACGUCCCAAAUUAUUGAUUCGAUUCCCAGCAUAAUCGAUUGGGUGUGUGUAUGGGAGGGUGUAUGCGUGCGUGAAAAUGAAUUCGCACAGAAACAUAAUUUUUUGUCUCCUUCGCAGACACAAAUCGUGUGUGGGAAUUUCGUUGCGAACGUUCCCUCUGCAAGAAAAUUACUGCGCGGAGCUGCUGAGUACGGUAGCCAAUACGCGUUAUAAUACUGUAUAGAUCCACAAACUACGGUAACCAGAACACGUCAUAUCAUUACUACGUUGGAGCCACAUACUGACAUGGUCAGCACAUGUUCUAUUGCAGUUUGUGGCCACUGACCACAAUACCCAGUACAUCGAGCGGAUCCAGUGACUACAUUGGUCAGUAAACGUCAGAUUACUGCGUAAAUCCACUGACUACGAUAGUCAAUAAGCGGCAUAUCACUGUGUAGUUCCACCGACUACGGUAGCCUCUACGCAUCAUAUUACUGUGUGAAGAGACCGAGAAAAAUGCAUAAAACAUUCCUGUCUGUGAAUCAGAAUAUUCCUGCAGGGGCAAACAAUUCGAACCUUGGAAGUAUAUCAGGGAAUGUAUUCAUACAAUAUGACAAGUGCGUGAAACAUUAAUGGAACAUCAGAUGAAGUUAUGUGUUAUGGGCAGGGGCAGUAGCCGCAGCAGCAGCAGCGGUUGCAGUACAUCAGUUGCUGUUUAAUCCCGGUGAUUUAUGCAGUUUAUGUGCGCCUUCCGCGAACUUAUUUCAGACUUUUGCCUCUGCCGGUGGCUAUACAUCAAUUUUGUGUGACAUUUCCGGCGGUCAAAAAGAGUGAUGUCGACAUACAAAUGUAUUAUCCGAUGUCUUGGUUCUUACAUUAGGAGCUUUAACUCUCGUUCUCUCUCGUUCCCUCUCGUUCCCUCUCCCUUUCUCUCUCAAGAGAUCUGGUGGAGUUUCCUUCGGAAUUAUUCCCCAACAUUAGACGCAACCCGAGGGGAAAUAAAUAAAUAUAUAUGUAUAUAAACAAAAACAAAAGACAAAAAAUUAAAAUGAUAGAGAAAAGAAUUUGUGUAGCCGGCUGUCUAGUGGUACCGAAUAAAAACAAUCUACAUCGAAGAGAAGAAAGCCAGUUGGCAACAGAAUUAAUCAUGCAGACAUUGCUCCCUUGGCACAGAUAUAAGACGACGGAUGUGUUAAGUUAACAAUGACACAACAACAUAUUAUGAGUCACCUUCAGAUAAACUCUUUCAUGAAACUGACUGUACACACACAGGAGAGUUAUACACACACACAGAACGAACUACAUAUAUGCGGUAGCUAUAUAUAUAUAUAUAUAUAUAUAUAUAUAUAAAGACGAAAGCUAUACACAGGGUACACAGAGAACAGCGGUGGUACGCGUAGGGCAGUUCUACGGAGAAGGUUUAUAUUUGUGUGGCGUUGUGUCAAUGGUAUCGAUGCCGUAGACUUGGAACACGACGCUUAUCUACGAUCAGCUGUGAAUGUCGUGGAUGGUGAAACGGUGAAAAUAAAUACCGAGGGAAUAAGUUUGAGCCACACACCGCAGGCAUGAUCCACAGAAUUUGAUCGGUACGAGUAAAUCUCAGAUCAGCAGGACAGAUCUCUCUCUCUCUUUCUCCUUCUCUCUUUCUCUCUCUUUCUCUCUCUCUCUCUCUCUCUCUCUCUCUCUGCUUCUCACUCCUCCUCAAUCUUUUCCAAUGUAAAUAUAUAUGCACACACACACACACACACACACACACUCACACAUACAUACACACAAGGGCACGCAUACACGCACAUAUGUAUGGAUUAUAAGUAUGUAUUUGUGAAUAUAUAUAUAUAUGUGUGUGUGUAUGUGUGUGUUUGUGUUUAUAUAUAUAUAUAUAUAUUUAUAUAUACAUACACACACACAUACAGAGAGGGACAUAGACAGACAAACAGACAGACAGAUAGACAGACAGAUAGUUUGCGAUAUACAGAAGGAAUAACAAAGAUAAGAUCAUAACAUCUAUGUUCAAAGGGACUCCAAUGAAUAUGGUACACACGCACACACACACACGCACACACACACACACACACACACACACAAACAUAAUUGCACACAGGAAAGAUUUCACAAUAAUUUACUCGUAGUGACAUACUGAAAGCUGUUAGUCUCUAGGUAUUGUCUCACUUAAAAUAAAGGAACCGACACAGCACAACUCCUAAAUGAAUGGAGGAAGUGCUCAAUCCCUCAUCCUAGAGCCUCAUAUUGUUAGAGAAGAAAAAAAAAUUGUUUGGUAGCUCCUAAUUUCACUGGUGGCCGUUUUCAUCAUAUGUGUGAGUGUUUGUAUGUGUGUAUGUGUGUGUGUGCGUGUGUAUGUGUGUGUGCGUGUGUAUGUGUGUGUGUAUGUGUGUGUAGUUAUGUCUCACUGGCAGGAGUCAGUGGAAUAGAAAUGGUUAACGUGUACAUGUGUGUGUAUGUGUGUAUGUAUGUGUGGAGGGGCACGUGGGUUGCUGUAUGUGUGCUUACUUUUCUACAGUUGUAUAUAUGCACAGACCCGUGUAAAGUUAUUUUCAUCACAUAUACACACACAGUCCCAUAGUCGUAUCGUAUCUUCCUUCAUAACAUUUUGUAUGAGAAUCAGUAAGACAGCGAGCUGGCAGAAUCGUUACCGCGCCGGGCAAAAUGCUUCAAGGCAUUUCGUUCGUGGUUACGUUCUGAGUUCAAAUUUCGCCGAGGUCGGUGUUGUCUUUUUUAUCCUUUCAUUGUUGAUAAAAGAAGUGGUUGUUAAUCGAUUUACCCCGUCCUCCGAAAUUGCUGGCCUUGUGCUAAUAUUUGAAACCGAUAGAGGAAUCAAUUAAAACAUCGAUAUGGUUCAGUCAGCCAGGGGCGAAGGCACGCAGCGAAAUGAAUAAAUAUUAGCUACGGGAUGGUGUAAGGGAGAUAACUGUUGUUCGUAUAAUUCGUGUUUAGCCCAGAGACAACUUUCACCUAAAGUUUGUAGGAGAAAAAAAAACAAUUGGAGGGGAAAAAUGGGGUUAAAAAACGUUGCCUUUGAUACAUGAAAGAUUAUUUAAAGUGGGAAAAAAAUAAAUAGUAAAAAAAGAAAAUGGGUUUUUAAUAAAUUUUUCAAAGAAAAAUGCAAAAGUAGGUUUCGUUAAUGGUGAAUCUUCACAGGUUAAAGUAAUCUACGGUUGUGUGAAUGUGUGUGUGUGUGUGUUUAUGUGCGUGUGCGUAUGUAAAUAUGCAUAUAUAUAUAUAUAUAUAUAUAUAUAUAUGAGUGUAUAUAUAUAUAUAUAUAUAUAUAUAUAUAUACAGUAGAACCUCGGUUUCCGAACAACUCUGGUCACGAAUAUAUCGUACUGUAUCUCCUAUCUUUCUCAUAUUCAUUUAAUACAGUAGUACCUCGAUUUAUAAACGCCCCUGAUCACAAAUAAAUCAUGCUUUAUAUAUACAUACAUACAUACAUACAUACAUACAUAUAUAUAUAUAUAUAUAUAUAUAUAUAUAUAUAUAUAUAUAUAUAUAUAUAUAUACACACACACAAACACACACACACACACACAUGUAGGAUGCUUCUGUUAGCUGAGUGCUCUCCUUAUUGGUCACUUCUACCAGUUGCUAGCCUGUCCCACUAGAAUCUUCUCUUUGCAAUCAGUUGCAGAAUGUCUUCAUAGCUCAUAGGGUCCACCUCUAAGAUUGUCCAGCAUUUGGUUGAGUGUUCGUUAAGCGUUGGCCGAAUGUUAGCGCUAAAUAGGAAACGAGUGGCCUUCCAAUUUCCAGGCUAAACCCUUUUAGUCUUUUCUUGCUUCUUGCUUCAUUAUAAUCGUUGUCUAAUCAAGAACAUUCCUUAGAAAACUUAUUUCUACGCUUAUCUUGUAAUGAUAUCGCAAAUGUAGACCGCAAGAAUAGCGUUUCAAAAUCUUAUAAUCUUUGAUUCUGAUCAGAUUUUCGCUUCCACAUUUCUGAAUUGUAGGUUCGGAUUCUUCGCAUAAACACGUUGACCAGUUAAACCUUGUGUUGCUGGCUAAUAGCUGUCCUAUUCAUGACUGUGGUCUUUUAGCAUUCCAAAUAGUUUUGACACUAGCAAGACACGUUUCUAAACCACCUCAGUUCCGUGCGGUGCAAUACUGCUGAGAUAAUACAAACUCUAUAACAUAUUUCAUAUUUCAUAACCAUCCCACGUAAUCACUUCUCCGCCAUGUCACAUCAUCCUCCGCUCUAAGUCAUUUGUUUCCUUGUCUCAGUUUUUCUUCAGGUUUCGUCAAACCGUUCGGUCAUUAUUAUCAACUUGUCAAUUCUUGUGAGUAUUAGGUUUGCUGUUGUUAAUAGAUCUGUUGUUGCUGCAUUAUUAUUAUUAUUAUUAUUAUUAUUAUUAUUAUUAUUAUUAUUAUUAUUAUUAUUAUUAUUAUUAUUAUUAUUAUUAUUAUUAUUAUUAUUAUUAUUAUUAUUAUUAUUAUUAUUAUUAUUAUUAUUAUUAUUAUUAUUAUUAUUAUUAUUAUUAUUAUUAUUAUUAUUAUUAUUAUUAUUAUUAUUAUUAUUAUUAUUAUUAUUAUUAUUAUUAUUAUUAUUAUUUAUCACUGCAGUUGUGUGAAGGCUCAUGGUUUAUUGGUCAAGGUAUUGAGCUGACGAUCGCAAGGUCAUGAGUUCAAUUCCCGGCGACGCGUUGUGUCCUUGAGCAAGACACUUAAUUUCGCGUUUGCUCCAGUUCACUCAACUGGCAAAAGUGAGUUGUACCAGUAAUUCAAAGGGUCAGCCUUGUGACAUUCUGUAUUGCCUUGUAUCCCCUUGAGAACUACGUUAAGGGGACACGUUAAUUUCACAAUCAGGCUGUUCCACUGAUCGGGUCAUCUGGAAACCUUGUCGUAACCGACAGGUUUUAUCCUUGAAAUAUUCAAACCCUGAUAGACUAGAUCCAUGAUUAAUCAUUACAUCCAUAACCAAUCGUAAUUCAUUGUCUACCUAGGGCAACAUUACACAGUAUGUCAUUCUGUAAAUCAUACACAAAAAAAGUUUUGCUAUUAUUUCUAGUAUUUCAAGCGACCACAUAGAAGUGGCUUCUGAGGCCGGAAUGUGUAUUCAGUCUCACUCAAGUAUGCUGUGUCACCAACAUAUCUGAUAUCCAUGAGAGGGAUUCAAUGCCACUCCUAUAAUCUAAGUUCUGGCAUCUCUCAUGACAAAUUCUUCGAAUGUAUCAUAGACAUUGGAGUGAGUAUGGCCAAUGUGUCUUCAAACAUUCCCUCUUCGAAACCAAUACUUCAGCUGCCCACCCACCACGAUGCCACACAGAGGAUUUUUGUAGAGCGCUUCUAUAAUUCGCAUUAUUUUGGUGCCAACACUUCCAAAGGCCCUUACAAAGAUUUAAAAUCUUAUUCUGAAGAAUAAGAUCUUAUUCUGAGGAAUAAGAAUGCUGGGUGUCUUUCUGGUUUAUCGAUAAUUACUUCGACAAAAAUUGACAUCGAUUGAAGUUGUGCUAGAUUUAAAACCAAAUUUAUUCUCUCUUGACGGAUAGUUUCUUGGGAAAAAAUUAUUUAUAGAAACGAUGUCAACAACAUGAAAAGUUAAAAAAAUACGCACACACACACACACGCAUGCUGAGUAUUCCACCAAUUCUAACCCUCUCCUGCCCCACAUUUAACUAAACUUGUCACAUCAUCAAAUUUCGAAGCUUUUCUUUUUCUCCAACUUUCAAUGUGCUGUGGUGACCAGGGCCCAUCAUACCGCACAGGGCUGCCAGAACGUAGAGAAAAGGAUGGGACGUAUCCUCAAAGUGGACAUCUGAUUUAUCCGGUUAUAUCGAUAGGGAGCCACAAAACGCCUCCAAGAUAACCAGGUUUGUGGUGUUAAAUUGGACGAUGGGUGAAGUCUGCUACACAAGUAACCUUUUCCGAUCUCUGGUACUUACUUAUCUACCCCGAAAGAAUGAACGGUAAAGUCUACCUCGGUGGAAUUUGAACUCAGAACGUAAAGACAGACGAAAUACCGCUAAGCAUUUCGCCCGGUGUGCUAACGCUUAUUCCAGCUCGCCGCCUUAUGUAAACAAAUUAUUGGAGUAAUGCGGUAAGGCCAUGCCAAUAUUACUCACCUCACCAUACAAAAAAGCAUGCUUUGUGGGGUUGCCGACUUAAUUUGUCCUCGUUGAGUAUAUUUCUGCCAUCUCAAGCCAUGAGACCUUAUCUCCUCGAUGGAGUCACAAGGACCGUCGUGGCCUAAGGCGUUUCUGACCAUAGCUGAUUGCCUCGACGAAACAUGAAAGGGGCAGAUAGAAAAAAAAAAACUGAGAGAAGAGUAUACCUUCGUACAGCACUGGUACUUUGUUUAUCGAACACGAAAAGAUGACAGGUAAAUUUGACUGCGGCUGGAUUUGAACUCGGAGCACAGAGACGGAAUGAUUACUGCAAUCCAACCUGUCCAACGCUCUGACGAUUCUGCCAUUUGACCGCUUCUAAGAAUAUAUAUACCAUAUGCCCAACAAUCCAAAUUUAUGCAUAUACCCAGCUCUCUCUCUCUCUCUUCCUUUUAUCUCUCUUUCUCUCUCUCUCUCUCUCUCUCUCUCUUUAUCACUAUAUAUAUGUAUGCGCGUGUUGUAAGAACGUAUAUGCAUCAGAAUAUAUAUAUACAUAUAUAUAUAUAUAAAUAUGUAUGUAUGUAUGUAUAUAUGUGUGUGUGUGUGUGUAUAAUGACAUAUGCCUAAGUCCACCUCGACCAUAGGGGGUUGCCUAUACGUGUUCACUGUGUUGGCUUUAGUGAAAAGCUUACAAUUAAGGCACGCGGUGAAUGCGUAGGGGAAGUCCAUUAAGCAACUUUAAAUAAGCCGUGUCGUUUCCAAGAUGGCGUCGAUUGGAUGAAACUGUAAGUAAUUAUUGACGUUUUAUUCCAUCUCUAAUAUAUUUCUGUAUUUUAAUAUGAUUUCUGAUUAAGAAAUAAUAAAGUUUAACUCUGCUUUUAAUUCUAUACAUGUACCUGCAUAUACUAUAUCUCCGAUCAUUUUUCUCAGUAUUUCUGGCCGUCUAAUUAUCUAUCUAUCUAUCUAUCUAUCUAUCUAUCUAUCUAUCUAUCUAUCUAUCUACCUACCUACCUACCUACCUACCUACCUACCUACCUACCUACCUUCUUACCUAUCUAUCUAUCUAUCUAUCUAUCUAUCUAUCUCUCUCUCUCUCUCUCUCUCUCUCUCUCUCUAUUUAUAUAUAUAUAUAUAUAUAUGUCUGUCUAUCUAUUUAUCUAUGUCUGUCUGUCUAACUAUCUAUCUAUCUUUCUAUCUAUAAUUCUAUCUAUUUAUAUAUCUAUCUAUCUGUCUAUCCAUCUAUUCAUCCAUCUAUCUAUCCUUAUCUAUCUAGCUGCCCCACUUUCUCCCUCUCGAUCUAUCUGUCAAUCGAUCAAUCGAUCUAUCUGCCUAGGCAGCUAUUUACUAAUCUGUACAUUUCUCUCCUCCCACCCUUUCUCUCUCCACUCCUCCUUCUCCCCUCUCUCUUUUCUUUAUUUUAUAUACACAUAUAUAUAUUUUAAUAAAUGUAUGCAAUCCUAUAUGUAUAUCACAUUUGAUAAUCAAUAAAGCGAAACACUUGAAA
rnacentral:lncRNA from 1 species